UGCGCCUUCUCGGUCCCCAACCAGCGCGGUCACUCUCACGGAGUAGCUGACUCCUCCUUGGAGACCUCGGAUCUCUGCAGACUCUGUGUUUCCUGGGAGCAUCUCGUGUGUCAUGGGGCCACCUGGCCAGCUGAUCCGGAAACCGCUGGCUCCGGGAACCGGUCCCCAGGUCACCCGCACUCGCAUCAUGUCUGAUGCUACCACACGCAGCCCUGGCCCUUGGGGCACUGACCACGGCGGACCGUGAGCACACUGGCACUGCCAUCACGGGCACCCACACGAGCAGACACCCGCACCGUGUAGCUGAGUCCAGGCCGGAUGUCAUCUAGGUCAAACUCUGUCUGACUUCCAGGGAGCAACAGGGACCGCUCAACCCCUGAGGCAGGAGAGAGGCAGGUGGUCAUGGUCAGGAAGGCGUGAGGACAUGGCGUGAUGGUGGGCAGUGGAAGAGAGGAGUACACAGGGUGAGAAGGCUGGGUACAAGCAGCCACACGGGAUAGGAAGCCCACAAUGAAGAGGGACACGGGACGGCAGAGGCCACUAGUGGACACUGACAUGGGAUGACAGCAGUCAGUGCUUGGUGGGAGCAGGAAGGAGAGGUCUGUGUGGACAGUGGUCACGGCCAGGCGAAGAGCAGGGUAGAAGAUGGAGCUCGUGGUGGGGAGGACUCAAACCCUGUGGGCAGGCAUUCUCCUUGGUGAGGGUUAGCAUGUUGCCUCC